rnacentral:tRNA from 1 species
UUUAAUGAGGUGUAUUGGCAUUUUACUUUUUGGUUGUGAAGGUGAUUAGUUAUCCAUUAAAU